UACGGCCGCAUCAUGUCGAAACAUCGGUUCCCAUACGAUCACUGAAGUUAAGCAACGUUGAAUCAGGCCAGUAUUUAGAUGGCUACCCGCUUGGGAAUACCAGGUAC